rnacentral:rRNA from 1 species
CCUUCGAGAGUGGCGAACGGGUGAGUAAUAUAUCGGAACGUGCCCAGUCGUGGGGGAUAACGUAGCGAAAGCUACGCUAAUACCGCAUACGAUCUACGGAUGAAAGCGGGGGACUCGUAAGAGCCUCGCGCGAUUGGAGCGGCCGAUAUCAGAUUAGGUUGUUGGUGAGGUAAAAGCUCACCAAGCCUGCGAUCUGUAGCUGGUCUGAGAGGACGACCAGCCACACUGGAACUGAGACACGGUCCAGACUCCUACGGGAGGCAGCAGUGGGGAAUUUUGGACAAUGGACGAAAGUCUGAUCCAGCAAUGCCGCGUGCAGGACGAAGGCCUUCGGGUUGUAAACUGCUUUUGUACGGAACGAAACGGUCUGCUUUAAUACAGUGGGCUAAUGACGGUACCGUAAGAAUAAGCACCGGCUAACUACGUGCCAGCAGCCGCGGUAAUACGUAGGGUGCGAGCGUUAAUCGGAAUUACUGGGCGUAAAGCGUGCGCAGGCGGUUAUAUAAGACAGAUGUGAAAUCCCCGGGCUCAACCUGGGACCUGCAUUUGUGACUGUAUAGCUAGAGUACGGUAGAGGGGGAUGGAAUUCCGCGUGUAGCAGUGAAAUGCGUAGAUAUGCGGAGGAACACCGAUGGCGAAGGCAAUCCCCUGGAC